rnacentral:tRNA from 1 species
GGAGGGGUACCGAAGUGGCUAUAACGGGCCGGUCUUGAAAACCGGUGAACCCUCACGGGUUCCGUGAGUUCGAAUCUCACCCCCUCCG